GUUCGACCUGAGCUCGGGCAAGGCUACCCG
rnacentral:rRNA from 1 species